rnacentral:misc_RNA from 1 species
GAUGAAGAACGUAGCGAAAUGCGAUAAGUAGUGUGAAUUGCAGAAUUCAGUGAAUCAUCGAAUCUUUGAACGCACAUUGCGCCUCCUGGUAUUCCGGGAGGCAUGCCUGUUCGAGCGUCAUCAAAAACCUCAACCCAUGAUUUAUUGUGAGUUGGUUCUGCAUUGGACUCCUUGUGGGUCCUUUGCGAAAUCCAAUGGCGAAGAGCCACGCAACCAAAGCGUAGUAUACUAUUUCGUUAUGGAAGCGUGGGUGCCUCUGCCGUAACCCCCAAUUUCUUAGUUUUUGGCCUCGGAUCAGGUAGGGAUACCCGCUGAACUUAAGCAUAUCAAUAAGCGGAGGA